AUCUUUUUUUUUAUUUUACAAUUUACAAUUUUUUUUUUUUCACGGGUGGAAAAGUUUUAAAUACAAAAAUCUUUCGCGAAGCCGAGACCCGGUCCGCUAGAAAAAUUCAUUAAUGAUCCUUCCGCAGGUUCACCUACGGAAA
rnacentral:misc_RNA from 1 species